GUCACGAGCGAUGUUUACAAAAAAAUUAACUCAACAACGCCGACUGGUAUCACAGCGUCAGUUUGUGCAGUAAAAAUGGGAAUGAAAACUAACUUUAGAAAAUUUGCAGAUUACUUGACGAGUGUGUGCAUUUUAGGUACAAACAACAGCCUCGACGCCGACAAUGGGGAAGAUGGUACAGCGUACGCAAUGAAUCGAUCGGUAGAAGAUUUCGGUUUAAAAUAAUUUUACUCUCCUACAAUUCGGAUGUAACACAACCGACAUGUUUCGGGUUUGAUCCCAUGCGAAUUGGAUCUCGCCGAGUCUUACAAAUGUCUCACAAAGCGAUGAACCGGAGCAAAAGGAAGACAAGUUUAGCUAGCAUUUGCCUGAUGAUUCAACAGAAACGAAUGUAGUUCCCGAUAUAAACGUUUAACCAUUCAGAAUCACACUAUCCGAAUCCAGCAAAGCCGGCGACGGUGUGUGCGUAAAGACUGGUCGCAUUUUGUAACGACUAACAUCGCAUUUUUACUCUGCGUCGUGAAAAGAAUAUUGUAACACCGUUUAAAGUAGAUGUUUUCUUAUCUGUUUUAGCUACAACAAAACGAAAUGCCUUGAAUCCUCUUCCCAAACCGUUCCUUGGUGAUGGUCGGUGAUGGUGAUUGGAAGUAAUGCCCAUCAUCGCUACACAAAGCUGCAUGAUAUUGUAAGUUAAGAUAAGUGCGUGUGGCAAUGCGUUUUUGCCCUCGAAUGCCGUAUUUUUGAGUGCUGUUGAGUAUCUGUUUAAAAACAUUAGCUGCUUAGUUAGGCGAACGAAUCCUCAAAACGUAGUACAAAUGCAGUCUGCCUA